rnacentral:rRNA from 1 species
GCCUAUCAUGCUAUCAUGCAAGUCGAGCGAACUGAUUAGAAGCUUGCUUCUAUGACGUUAGCGGCGGACGGGUGAGUAACACGUGGGCAACCUGCCUGUAAGACUGGGAUAACUUCGGGAAACCGAAGCUAAUACCGGAUAGGAUCUUCUCCUUCAUGGGAGAUGAUUGAAAGAUGGUUUCGGCUAUCACUUACAGAUGGGCCCGCGGUGCAUUAGCUAGUUGGUGAGGUAACGGCUCACCAAGGCAACGAUGCAUAGCCGACCUGAGAGGGUGAUCGGCCACACUGGGACUGAGACACGGCCCAGACUCCUACGGGAGGCAGCAGUAGGGAAUCUUCCGCAAUGGACGAAAGUCUGACGGAGCAACGCCGCGUGAGUGAUGAAGGCUUUCGGGUCGUAAAACUCUGUUGUUAGGGAAGAACAAGUACGAGAGUAACUGCUCGUACCUUGACGGUACCUAACCAGAAAGCCACGGCUAACUACGUGCCAGCAGCCGCGGUAAUACGUAGGUGGCAAGCGUUAUCCGGAAUUAUUGGGCGUAAAGCGCGCGCAGGCGGUUUCUUAAGUCUGAUGUGAAAGCCCACGGCUCAACCGUGGAGGGUCAUUGGAAACUGGGGAACUUGAGUGCAGAAGAGA